AGUCAUCAACCAGAUGCCUCAACUACGAGGACUCAAGGCAUACAUGGCAUAUAACUUUUCGGACAUUUAUUUGAGUUACGCCAACAAGCGCGACGCCUUUAGCCCUCGCUCCGGCGCAGAAACCUUCCUUUAUCCAUCAUGGCGUCACUUCAUGAAGACAUCUACGGAUGACUUUGUCUAUGACCCCAAUCGCAUGCGCUCUAUGGACACCAUCCCCAUCUUUACCAUCAUCAAUGAGGUAGUCCCACCCUCGACUCGGCCCCUCCCUGAACUCACUAUGAACUCUCAGGACAAACGGGGCCGCGGGAUGGAAUCUGCUGCUCCUGCUGGAACAGGUACCUCACGGGCCCAAGGAAACCAAUAGGUGGUUGGCCUCCAGUCUCCACUUUCUUUCGCUACUCUUAACUGUGAUGGUAUACCUGCUGACCCUGACUCCCUUAAGCUGGAGAACCUGGUUCGCAUUUUUUCUUCACACCAUAUCAUUUUCCUACAAGAAACCAGGACUUCCCAGUAUGAUCGACUCCUACAACACCUUCCCAGGCACUUUCUUCUUGGCCAUACUCGUAUACCUCCUCGCAGAGAGGGACUUCAAGGAUUUGGGGUCGCUAUUAUUGCAGCUACUAUCUUCCAAGAUUAUCUUUCUUUGUUAUGUAUCUCUGAUCAACUACAAACUAUUUGGGUUAGGGCACAUGCGGAACUGUUCCGGCUGGAUAGAGAUGUUUACUUAUGUGCUUCAUAUGUGAACCCUGAGAGCCAAAAUACUUCCCCAGAACAAAUCGAUAAUCUCUACUUCACCCUAGGCGAGGAGAUUUUUCAGGCCUAUACACAAACACCACACAUUCUUAUUGGUGGUGAUUUCAACGCACACAUUGCCAACAGAAAAGAACUUUCUGAUGUACAUUACGAGUUUCUCUCACGACAUCCUUACCUCACUCACAAUAGGCAAUCUCGAUGCUCUGAAGUUAACAGAGCGGGCAUACGCCUCCUUGACUUGGCAGCUACUUACAAGCUUCUCAUAACCACAGGACAUGUCAAUGGAGACUUAGGCCAACGAACGUAUACAGGAUAUGAUAACCAAUGUAAUUCUCUUCCAGAUC
rnacentral:lncRNA from 1 species